UACGUAGGGGGCAAGCGUUGUCCGGAUUUAUUGGGCGUAAAGAGCGUGUAGGCGGCCGUACAGGUCAGCUGUGAAAACUCGAGGCUCAACCUCGAGACGUCGGUUGAAACCGUACGGCUAGAGUCCGGAAGAGGAGUGUGGAAUUCCCGGUGUAGCGGUGAAAUGCGCAGAUAUCGGGAAGAACACCAGUGGCGAAGGCGGCCCGCUGGACAUGUAUUGACGCUGAGGUGCGAAAGCGUGGGGAGCAAACAGG
rnacentral:rRNA from 1 species